rnacentral:lncRNA from 1 species
GUGAGUGUGAAAACGCUUCCCUCGCAACGUCGACAGUGAGCGCGAGAACACGCUUCCCUCAGGUUUACAAUGUCGACAGUGAGCGUGAGAACACGCUUCCCUCACAACGUCGACAGUGAGUGUGAGAACACGCUUCCCUCAGGUUUACAACGUUGACAGUGAGUGUGAGAACACACUUCCCUCAGGUUUACGUCAACAGUGAGCGUGAGAACACGCUUCCCUCAGGUUUAUGUCGACAGCGUGAGAAUACACUUCCCUCACAACGUCGACAGUGAGUGUGAGAACACGCUUCCCUUGCAACGUCGACAGUGAGUGUGAGAACACGCUUCCCUCAGGUUUACAACGUCGACAGUGAGCGCGAGAACACGCUUCCCUUGCAACGUCAACAGUGAGUGUGAGAACACGCUUCCCUCAGGUUUACAACGUCGACAGUGAGCGCGAGAACACGCUUCCCUCAGGUUUACGUCGACAGUGAGCGCGAGAACACGCUUCCCUCAGGUUUACGUCGAUAGUGAGCGUGAGAACACGCUUCCCUGGGGUUUACGUCGACAAUGAGCUGAGAACACGCUUCCCUCAGGUUUACAAUGUUGACAGUGAGCAUGAGAACACGCUUCCCUCGCAACGUUGACAGUAAGCGUGAGAACACGCUUCUCUCACUUGCCGUCUGAAGAGCGAGGCAACCGACAAAAACUGAAAUUUAAUAAAAGCUGUCUCCCUCAGGUGGUUGUGGGGCCUUCAGUAGAACAGGGAUGAGGGGCCCACAGGCCGCUGUUCACAGGUGGGGCCAGCCCAGCUCCAACCCCAGAAGCACUCGGCAGCUGGGCUCCCAGAAUUCUCACCCCUGUGGCGACCUGGAGCGUGGCGCAGGCCACGCUGUGGGCUGGAAAUGUCAGCAUCAUCCGCUCUGUCUGAAAUCAGUGCCCGCAGCCCCCCACGAGACAGAUUCCCGGCCCUGCCUGCUUGUAUCUGGGGGCACAAGUGCACCCCUCACACAAGCCCCAGGCCACGCGGACGCCGCCUUUCUAACCAGACCUGGGCAGGGUUCCCACGUUCCAGGUUCGCCUCUCUCCUUUAAUGCUGACGUGCUGGAAUAACCUCUCGGAACUGCCAACCUUCCUGGCACCAGAUCAUCCCUCAGCCCUCCUAACGCGCCUUCCGGGAGAUUAAAUUCAGGCGCAGUUACACAAAAACAGUGACAGACAAGCCGCUCAGGAAGCCUCUCUGUGGGCAUGUGUGUUCCAGCCUCUAACUGCAGACAACAUUUUCACUUUCCUCACCGGGCAGCACCCCGGGAUGUCAGGAGGGGCGGCCGGCAGGACUCCCCGAGGGCUAUGCCCACUCCGUUCAUGGGGCUCAUACAUUCUGCUGGGAACUUCUCCCCAUUUAAUGCCUGCCCCCCGCCCCAGGGAGGGUGAAGGGAACUCUCCCUCUGGGCCCCAUCACAGACCAUCAGCCAGAGGUGUCAGCCCCACCUGAGCCCGGGGGCCCCCUGCACUCAGAUGCCUGAUUCCCGGAGGCCGACCACUGCGACCUUCUGACUCAAAAGGAGACGUGAGGCCCCCUGAAGACGGGAGGCGGGGCCGGGACAGGGGCUGCGGACUGAGCUCAUCUUCGGCCGAGUCAUCGGAGGAUGCCUUUGGCACUGAGACGAGGAGUGCGGGCGGCUGGUGGCCAAGGCGUGUCCCCAGCCCGCCCCCCACAAGCACCGGACACCUCGGGCACCUGGAUUCCAAAUGCUUGGAGCUCUCGGAGGGGCCUCCCUGUGCUGCCUGUGGGGAUGGCAAUUUUGAAGGAAAACCUACAAUGAGACUUGACUUUACAAACAUGUACGUGAAAUGAAUUCCACAGCUGGAGUGUAAGUGGGUUCACUGUUGUCACCUUGUGCAUUUCAACGGCACAUUUCACAACCCUAGGAGUCCGCCCCUCACUGCCGUGACCCCCGGGCAUGCAGACCCGAAGCUCAUCGGCACAGCGGAAACCUAGACUGCUAACGACCCCAUGAUGACGGUGUAGAAAAGGGAAAAAGCCAAGAGCAGCUUUGAGUCAGGGCGGUGCUUGCUAAGCAGCUGUCUUCCACCCACACCCACCCGUCCUGCCUCCACCUCCAGGGUCGGCAGAAGCAGAGCUGGCAACUAUCUCUCGGACCACAUGGCAGAAGCCAUCUGAGCUGGACCCCAAGACACAGAUGCACAGCACGGAGGACGCAGGUCCUGGAGCGGCCUCGGCGUCCUCAGACCCAGCCGGGGUUGCAGAGGCAGGAAGUGCAGCGGGCACGCGGGACGGAACACGGAUACCUGGGUGCUGGUUUCUAUUCAUUAUUUAUUUAACAACCACACUGACAGUGGCCUCGAGGUAGGCCCAGCGUCAACACUGGGGAUCUCGCCCUGCGGCAGCCUGGGGGCUCUGCCUGAGGGGCUCACAGUCUGGUGCAGGUUGCGGUCGCAGCCCCCAGGACCAGGUGGGGUGACAGGGAGCCGGGGAGCCCCUGGGGGCUGGUGGGGCUGGUCAGUGUGCUUGUGGGGACCUGGGAUGGUCACCCAGGGACUAUGGUGCUACGUCCAGGAGAGAAGAGACGACGGAGGCAAAGAGAGGGAGAACGGGCGAAGGCUGGUGCCCAGGGUGAGCCUGGGGAACCUGGCCUGCGUUGAGCCAUGCUGGAGCAGAUGGGGGGUGGAGGGUGCAGCCGAGACACUGGGCAGGGGGUGCAGGAGAGAUGUCCACGCUGGGCACAAUGCUGAGAGGGGAGCCGGGGCCAAUCGAGGCAGGAGUGUGGCUGGUAGGACAGGACGGCCGGCUGCCAGGUGGGGUGUGGACUGGAGGUAGCAGGAGCGGCUCAGCCCCACCGGCUUCAUGCUGUGGCCACGGUCCUGGGGGCCGCCACCUCCCACCUGUGAAGGGCAGGCACGCUCCCCGCACGCCCCUUCUGCCUCUGAGAUACGUGAUCUGUGCUAAAGUCAGUGCUGCUCAAACCCACGGUGGGGACUGCCGCAUGCUGA